rnacentral:rRNA from 1 species
UGAAUACGAGAUGCUACGGCGUCGAAGCAGUGUAUGUCAGACUUCCAAGAAAAGCUCGCAAUGUCAUAAAUAAAGAAUGCCUGUACCAUAACCGACACAGGUGGGUAGGUAGAGUAUACUAAGGGGCGCGAGAUAACUCUCUCUAAGGAACUCGGCAAAAUAACUCCGUAACUUCGGGAGAAGGAGUGCCUUCUUUAAGAAGGUUGCAAUAACAAGAUCCAAGCAACUGUUUAUCAAAGACACAGGUCUCCGCUAAGUCGUAAGACGAUGUAUGGGGGCUGACGCCUGCCCAGUGCCAGAAGGUUAAAGAAGUUGGUUAGCUUUUGCGAAGCUGAUGACUGAAGCCCUGGUGAACGGCGGCCGUAACGAUAACGGUCCUAAGGUAGCGAAAUUCCUUGUCGGGUAAGUUCCGACCCGCACGAAAGGCGUAAUGAUAUGGAUACUGUCUCGGAGAGGGACUCGGUGAAAUAGACUUGUCUGUGAAGAUGCGGACUACCUGCACCAGGACAGAAAGACCCUAUGAAGCUUUACUGUAACUUGAAAUUGAAAUUGGACUUUAUUUGCGCAGUAUAGGUGGAAGGCGUUGAAAGUAAUCUUGCGGGAUUAGUGGAGCCAUCAGUGAGAUACCACUCCUAUAAUGUUAGAUUUCUAACCUUGGAUCAUGAUCUGGUCAAAGAACAGUUUCAGGCGGGCAGUUUGACUGGGGCGGUCGCCUCCCAAAUGGUAACGGAGGCGUACAAAGGUUUCCUCUGAACGGGUAGAAAUCGUAUCUAGAGUGUAAAGGCAUAAGGAAGCUUGACUGUGAGACCUACAAGUCGAGCAGGGACGAAAGUCGGUCUUAGUGAUCUGACGGUGCUGAGUGGAAAGGCCGUCACUCAACGGAUAAAAGUUACUCUAAGGAUAACAGGCUGAUCUCCCCCAAGAGUUCACAUCGACGGGGAGGUUUGGCACCUCGAUGUCGGCUCAUCGCAUCCUGGGGCGGUAGUACGUCCCAAGGGUUGGGCUGUUCGCCCAUGAAAGCGGUACGCGAGCUGGGCUCAGAACGUCGUGAGACAGUUCGGUCCAUAUCCGGUGUAGGCGUUAGAAUAUUGAGAGGAGCCUUCUUUAGUACGAGAGGACCGAGAAGGACAUACCUCUGGUGUACCAGUUAUCGUGCCAACGGUAAACGCUGGGUAGCUAUGUAUGGAGAGGAUAACCGCUGAAAGCAUCUAAGUGGGAAGCCCACCUCAAGAUGAG